rnacentral:lncRNA from 1 species
CAAGGAUGAGAUGUUCAAUUCGGAUGCUUAAAAGCUGUUGCACUGUUUUUUUCUGCUCAGGGCAACCGCUAAAAGUCAGUGCUGCAAAAGUUAAACUAUCAAAAAUGAUGCAUGAAGAUUGCACUCUUCAGAAAAAACAUCCUGAAAUACCAGCCUGGGGACUCUUCACUAUCAAGUUAGGCUGGCAGAUCCGACUGUCAACUGCACAGGGCAAACCGCAGAAGGCUUCCCGUCCGUCCUUGAGAAGCGUCUCCUGUCGCAGUUUGCAAAGGCGAGAUGUCUCCUUCCUUUCCUGUUCUCCCUGAAUUUGCAGCCCRCUGCACGCUUCUGUUGAAGUGACACGGAUGCCAUCUCACUCCUCACGAUGUUGUUGUCCUCCUGGUUGUAGGCAGACUGAAGAGGGUCGCUUUGCCAAGCUGCAGGUGAUGUGUGUUGCUUUGCCAAAAAACACCUGUCUUUUUCC